GGCUGCGUAGCUUAAUGGAUAUAGUGUUAGACUUCGGAUCUAAAGAUUACGGGUUCAAGUCCCGUCGUGGCUC
rnacentral:tRNA from 1 species